rnacentral:tRNA from 1 species
UCCCUGAUAGCUUAGUUGGUAAAAGAAUUCGCCUGCAAUGCAGGAGACCCCGGUUCUAUUCCUGGUUCAGGAA